GAUGAACGCUGGCGGCGUGCCUAAUACAUGCGAGCCGAGCGAACGGACGAGAAGCUUGCUUCUCUGAUGUUAGCGGCGGACGGGUGAGUAACACGUGGAUAACCUACCUAUAAGACUGGGAUAACUUCGGGAAACCGGAGCUAAUACCGGAUAAUAUUUUGAUCUGCAUGGUUCAAAAGUAAAAGACGGUCUUGCUGUCACUUAUAGAUGGAUCCGCGCUGCAUUAGCUAGUUGGUAAGGUAACGGCUUACCAAGGCAACGAUGCAUAGCCGACCUGAGAGGGUGAUCGGCCACACUGGAACUGAGACACGGUCCAGACUCCUACGGGAGGCAGCAGUAGGGAAUCUUCCGCAAUGGGCGAAAGCCUGACGGAGCAACGCCGCGUGAGUGAUGAAGGUCUUCGGAUCGUAAAACUCUGUUAUUAGGGAAGAACAUAUAUGUAAGUAACUGUGCACAUCUUGACGGUACCUAAUCAGAAAGCCACGGCUAACUACGUGCCAGCAGCCGCGGUAAUACGUAGGUGGCAAGCGUUAUCCGGAAUUAUUGGGCGUAAAGCGCGCGUAGGCGGUUUUUUAAGUCUGAUGUGAAAGCCCACGGCUCAACCGUGGAGGGUCAUUGGAAACUGGAAAACUUGAGUGCAGAAGAGGAAAGUGGAAUUCCAUGUGUAGCGGUGAAAUGCGCAGAGAUAUGGAGGAACACCAGUGGCGAAGGCGACUUUCUGGUCUGUAACUGACGCUGAUGUGCGAAAGCGUGGGGAUCAAACAGGAUUAGAUACCCUGGUAGUCCACGCCGUAAACGAUGAGUGCUAAGUGUUAGGGGGUUUCCGCCCCUUAGUGCUGCAGCUAACGCAUUAAGCACUCCGCCUGGGGAGUACGACCGCAAGGUUGAAACUCAAAGGAAUUGACGGGGACCCGCACAAGCGGUGGAGCAUGUGGUUUAAUUCGAAGCAACGCGAAGAACCUUACCAAAUCUUGACAUCCUUUGACAACUCUAGAGAUAGAGCCUUCCCCUUCGGGGGACAAAGUGACAGGUGGUGCGUGGUUGUCGUCAGCUCGUGUCGUGAGAUGUUGGGUUAAGUCCCGCAACGAGCGCAACCCUUAAGCUUAGUUGCCAUCAUUAAGUUGGGCACUCUAAGUUGACUGCCGGUGACAAACCGGAGGAAGGUGGGGAUGACGUCAAAUCAUCAUGCCCCUUAUGAUUUGGGCUACACACGUGCUACAAUGGACAAUACAAAGGGCAGCGAAACCGCGAGGUCAAGCAAAUCCCAUAAAGUUGUUCUCAGUUCAGAUUGUAGUCUGCAACUCGACUACAUGAAGCUGGAAUCGCUAGUAAUCGUAGAUCAGCAUGCUACGGUGAAUACGUUCCCGGGUCU
rnacentral:rRNA from 1 species